AAGCACAUAGAAAGGAAACUUGAUACACUACACCACAACACCUAAUUAGGGGCAGUUAACUGCCGGGAGAAAUACCCGAUCAAGGGCAAAUGAACUGCCGGGAAUUGAAUAACUGCCGGUAGAAGUACUUACAGGCAGAGAAACUGCCGGGAGAAGUUAACAAACGAGGGCACCCAAAACUGCCGGCAACGAUGUCCACUUGGCAGAUCAUCCUAUCUGCCGGCCCAACUAAACCGCGGCCUGUUGUCUGCCGGGAGCUUGUAUGCUUAGCGUAACCAAAGUAGUUGGGCCAUUUCUCAAAAAAAAAAACAACACUGGGCCAAGCGCGCUCGCGCGGGACAAAGGGUGCGCGAGAUGGAAAUAUUCACAAGGUUCCUUUGGUCGUCGGCUUGAGCCCCACCAGUUCUUCCCCAAAUCUUGCAAAACCUAACCCUCAACCCCGACCACGCCGCCGCCGCCACCACCAACCACUCUACCGCAGCGCCGGCUUCCUCCCCAAACACAGUCGCCGCCGACCGCCUAGUCGUCGCCGAGCACCCUUCGCCGCUUCGUCCCCAUCCCCCGCGCACCCAGCGCCUGCUUCCUCCCGAGGAAUGCCGCCGACCGCCCUCCAUCCCCACCACAACAGCGACCUCCUCCACAGGUUUCCUCCGCCGAGCAGGCCUCCUCCUCCUCAAGCUUUCUCCCCCGAGCAGGGCCUCCUCCUCCACGAGCAUCCUUCCCCGAGCACUAAGUUGGGCUGCCUCCUGGUUCCCUCACCCGAGCAGCGGACCUUCCUGUACGGCCCCUCUCCCGAGAAGCUCCACCUCCUCUACAUCCUCCCCAAGGUGCAGCGCCGCCUCCUUGCUCACCGAGAGCACUUGGCUCAUGAGAUUUCAAUCUUUGCAAACUUUUGUUCCUUUUUUCUUCUGAGCAGUAACUAGAACGACUUCAGAAAGUGUUUGAGUUUAUAUGUCACUACAGUUCUGAAGAUAACGACUAGCUUUGUCAUCUGAUAGCCCAAGUUUUGCUUAUGGUGAAGAGAUCUUCCAUUGCAGCAAAUGGAUGCUCCAACUACAUAAUAAAUCAGUGAAUCCCAGUAGGUGUACUACAUGCAAGCUUCCGGAAAUUAGGUUUCAAGGUCGUGCUGCAAAUAUAGCUAGAGAACUUAUUUCUGUCUAUUUUUUCUGCACAUGUAGACUGAAAGUGAAGUAACGCUUCUACAGUUUAAUAGUUUUAAUUAACUAGUGAAUGUGUUAUUUUUAUGAAAAUAGAUAUAUGGGGUUUGAUCUGGAAUUUUCUUCUGUAAUUUUCUAUUGCCAGUUUGCCACUGCUCCCAGUCAUGUGAUUCAGGAAUUUAAUUAUCAGUAGUUGUCUAUCAUAGUAGAAAUCCCUUCAAGUGUUGCAACCUUUAUAAUUGAUUUGAAAAACAUUUGCCUAAUAAUUUACUCCCUCCGUCCCAUAAUGUAAGACAUAUUUCGACACUACACUAGUGUUAAAAAAUGUCUUACAUUAUGGGACGGAGGGAGUAUUUUUCUAGAGUAAAAUGAGAGCAAUUGGGUUUUGUACUGAAAUAAUAUUCCCUAAUUUUCAUUUGAUGCUUUCACUGAAAUAAUAUUUUGGAUUGUUUCUUUUGUGAUCAGUGUGCAUCUUGUUUGUCCUCUCCACCAAGCAGUGUCGACUACUCCAUACAAGCACAUAAGCUUAUGCUCUUAUGAAGUUAUGAUUAUAUAUUUACCAAUGACUAUUAUGGUUGAUAACUUUAAAGUCUUUGCUUCUAUAUAUGCAGCUGAGAAUGACUUAUAAGUUCAUGGCAAAAGCAGCAACAUGAGUACGCAACCACAAGCAAGCUGAGGGGGUAAUAAUCUUGGUAGUCAAGUCUUAGAUUCAGUAUUUUGCUUUUUGGAUACAUGAACAUUGAAACUUAUUUAGCAUUUCAUUUCUUAUAUGCUUCAUGCAAAUAAAACUGCAGUAAACAUAUGAGCCGAGAUUUUGCUCGGCAUGUGUAUGUAUGCAUGCCCUAAAUUUGCUUAGCAUUUUUAUGCAUACAACUAUUGGAAGCUUUUACAUGUCCUGGAACUGACCUUUUGCAUGCCAUGUGUUUUCUGAAGCUGAGUCUUUUGUUAUUGGCUAGUACUUGAAACAGAGUCGCAGGCCUCCUGCCAUAUAACCAUUUAUGAAGUGCAUACGUGAUGCCUUAUCUUGUAUUCCUACACAUAGUCCAGUAUUUUUUUUCAUGUGUAAAAAGUGGUUGAUCUGGCAUUACACUGUUAAGUAUUUUGUACACAUCAGGAAUCUUGUUGUAGAUACACACUGAGCUGAAAAUGUUGCUAGCAGAAAUAGGUUUUCUGUUAGCUACGCAUCUGGUUUAAAACAUGGUAUGACUACUUGCUUUGGAAUAGUAACGCCUUGAUAUUAUCUUAUCCUAUCUCAUGUAUAUUUUAGUUAUUUCUAGACAAAGCUUUAGGAACCGAGUUCACUACAACUCGAAGUCUUGUGCAUGGAGGAGAAUUUAGAUAUUUGCGCAUUCUGUACUAGUCAAAAGGUUGGCAUCACGGUUGGAAGAUCUCUGUGCUACUCUCUACACGAUGUUUCUUCUACAUGAUAGCACUUGACGUCUACAUGAUAGCACUUGAAGUCUACAUGAUGUUUCUUGUAUUCAUAGUUCAAACCAUUUGUUUAGCUUAGUUUGAACAAAAACUAUUAUUGUCUUGCAUGUAAAUAAUGUUUACUAAUGUAGCUGGAUGCUACUGAAUGCAUGUACGAAAGUCAAAAUACUAAAGUGUUAGUCAUUAAGUGUUUGAGAA